GGCCUCUCAGGGUUGCACCUGGAGAGCUUCCAGUCCUCUACCAGUCUCGACUAUGGGAGGGAGAUUCAAGCAGAGGCCUGUCCAUUCCGUUCCUAACUUGGGAAAUGGUUAGUGAGAGGAAGGCAAUCUGCUACAAGU